rnacentral:lncRNA from 13 species
CUCUGCUGAAUUUUUGUUGGUUGUUUACAGGGAAUAGUCUGGAACAUCUCUACAAGAGGCAGCCUUCAAUUUGCAAAGACUCAGUAUCAGCUGCCCCUUCUAGACCUCUAAUUUCUAUGGAUAUGGAAAAUGAACCUGAAAUGUUUCUUGAGUGAUUCAAAAUCCUGAUUAAGUCCCAGAGGCCAUGAGCAGUGCUGUUCUUGAAGAGCAGAGGACGUCUGCGUCUCAGUCAGCUUUGAAUCUGCACCACCAGCACGGUAACUUGCAUGAAGUAGAAAGUCAGCGUCUCCUGAAUGAUGAGGUGGUUACUAUGAAAGUC